rnacentral:rRNA from 1 species
UACGUAGGGAGCAAGCGUUGUCCGGAAUCAUUGGGCGUAAAGCGCGCGUAGGUGGCCUCAUAAGUCCGUUGUGAAAGUCAAAGGCUCAACCUUUGAAAGCCGAUGGAUACUGUGAGACUAGAGUACGGAAGAGGCGAGUGGAAUUCCUGGUGUAGCGGUGGAAUGCGCAGAUAUCAGGAGGAACACCGAUGGCGAAGGCAGUUCUCUGGGCCGUAACUGACGCUGAGGAGCGAAAGCGUGGGGAGCGAACAGG